UACGUAGGUGGCGAGCGUUGUCCGGAUUUAUUGGGUUUAAAGGGUGCGUAGGCGGUCCUAUAAGUCAGUGGUGAAAUAUCGCAGCUCAACUGUGAGGGUGCCAUUGAUACUGUAGGACUUGAGUGAAUUUGAUGUAGGCGGAAUUGACGGUGUAGCGGUGAAAUGCUUAGAUAUCGUCAAGAACACCGAUAGUGAAGACAGCUUACCAAGCUUCAACUGACGCUGAGGCACGAAAGUGUGGGGAUCAAACAGG
rnacentral:rRNA from 1 species